rnacentral:rRNA from 1 species
AGCAAAAAAUUUAGCCCACAUUUACUUAUAUUAACCAAUUUUUAUAUACUUCAAUUAAAUCAUUUUAUCUGCCUAGUAAAGGAGAUUGAAAGGCCUACAGGAGCUAUAAACCUAGUACCGCAAGGGAAUAAUGAAAUAAAAAUGAAAAACUUUAAGCAUAUUAUAGUAGAGAUUAAUUCUCGUACCUUUUGCAUCAUGGUUUAACUAGUUAAACCAAGCAAAAAGAAUUUAAGUUUGACUUCCCGAAUCUAAGUGAGCUACUUCAAGGCAGCUAAUAGAGCCAACUCGUCUCUGUUGCAAAAGAGUGAGAAGACCUUCAAGUAGAGGUGAUAGACCUACCGAACUUAGUGAUAGCUGGUUAUUCAAGAAAAGAACAUUAGUUCAGCUAAAAAUUUAUAUAAUAAACAAAAUUUAGAUUAAAUUUUUUAAGUAACUCAAAUAAGGUACAGCCUAUUUGAAACAGGAUACAACCUACACUAAAGGGUAACCUAUUUUUAUUCAUAGUUAAGUAGGCCUAAUAGCAGCCAACUUUAAAAAAGCGUCAAAGCUUAUCUUAAUAAAUAUUUAAUUCCACUAUAAACAAGAAACCCUUAAUCUGUAUUGAAUACUUCUAUAAAAUUAUAGAAUUUUUUAUGUUAAAACUAGUAACAAGAAGAAGAACUUCUCUUAAAUGCACGUAUAAGUCAGCCUGGACAACCCACUGAUAGUUAACGCAUUAGAACAAGCAGUAGUAACAUCUCUAGAAAACCCUUCUGUGAACUCCGUUAACCUUACACAAGAGCAUUAAAAGAAAGAUUAAAAAAAAAGGAAGGAACUCGGCAAACACUAACCCCGCCUGUUUACCAAAAACAUCGCCUCUUGUUUUUUAUAAGAGGUCCAGCCUGCCCAGUGAAUAAAUUAAACGGCCGCGGUAUCCUAACCGUGCGAAGGUAGCGUAAUCACUUGUUCUUUAAAUAAGGACUAGUAUGAAUGGCAUCACGAGGGUUAUUCUGUCUCCCUUUUUUAAUCAGUGAAACUAAUCUUCCCGUGAAGAAGCGGGAAUAAAACUAUAAGACGAGAAGACCCUAUGGAGCUUUAGACUACUUAACAAAUGCUAUUUACUUUCCUAUCCUCUGGGAACUUAACUAUAUUUUAUCAUACUGAUUAAUAGUCUUAGGUUGGGGUGACCGCGGAGUAAAAUACAACCUCCAUGAUGAAAGAAACUUAAUUUCUUAAUUCAGAGUAACAACUCUAAAUACCAAAAUCUUGACAUAGCUUGAUCCAGUUUACUGAUCAACGAACCAAGUUACCCUAGGGAUAACAGCGCAAUCUACUUCAAGAGUUCCUAUCGACAAGUAGGUUUACGACCUCGAUGUUGGAUCAGGGUAUCCUAGUGGUGCA